GGAAUAUUGCGCAAUGGGGGAAACCCUGACGCAGCAACGCCGCGUGAGUGAGGAAGUAUCUCGGUAUGUAAAGCUCUAUCAGCGGGGAAGAAAGAGGACGGUACCCGACUAAGAAGCCCCGGCUAACUACGUGCCAGCAGCCGCGGUAAUACGUAGGGGGCGAGCGUUAUCCGGAUUUACUGGGUGUAAAGGGAGCGUAGACGGCAGCACAAGUCUGGAGUGAAAUGCCGGGGCUUAACCCCGGAACUGCUUUGGAAACUGUGCAGCUAGAGUGCAGGAGAGGUAAGUGGAAUUCCUAGUGUAGCGGUGAAAUGCGUAGAUAUUAGGAGGAACACCAGUGGCGAAGGCGGCUUACUGGACUGUAACUGACGUUGAGGCUCGAAAGCGUGGGGAGCAAACAG
rnacentral:rRNA from 1 species